rnacentral:rRNA from 1 species
UACAGGGGGUGCGAGCGUUAAUCGGAAUUACUGGGCGUAAAGCGUGCGUAGACGGUUAUUUAAGUCGGGUGUGAAAGCCCCGGGCUCAACCUGGGAAUUGCAUUCGAGACUGAAUAGCUAGGGUACGGUAGAGGGAAGCGGAAUUUCCGGUGUAGCGGUGAAAUGCGUAGAUAUCGGAAGGAACAUCAGUGGCGAAAGCGGCUUCCUGGACCAGUACCGACGUUCAGGCACGAAAGCGUGGGGAGCAAACGGG